rnacentral:rRNA from 1 species
CCUACGGAUGGCUGCAGUGGGGAAUAUUGCACAAUGGGGGAAACCCUGAUGCAGCGACGCCGCGUGAGUGAGGCAGUAUUUCGGUAUGUAACGCUCUAUCAGCAGGGAAGAAAAUGACGGUACCUGACUAAGAAGCCCCGGCUAACUACGUGCCAGCAGCCGCGGGAAUACUUAGGGGGCAAGCGUUCUCCGGAUUUACUGGGUGUAAAGGGCACGUAGACGGCUAAUCAAGUCAGAAGUGAAAACCCAGGGCUCAACCUUGGGAGGGCUUUUGAAACUGAGUAGCUAGAGUGCAGGCGAGGUAAGCGGAAUUCCUAGUGUAGCGGUGAAAGGCGUAGAUAUUAGGAGGAACACCAGUGGCGAAGGCGGCUUACUGGACUGUAACUGACGUUGAGGCUCGAAAGCGUGGGGAGCAAACAGGAUUAGAUACCCGAGUAGUC